AGGUGCGAUCAUACCAACACUAAUGCACUGGAUCACAUCAGAACACCGCAGUGACGCGUGCUUGGGAGAGAGUAGUACUAGGAUGGGUGACCUACUGGGAAGCCCUCGUGUUGCACCUC
rfam:Lupinus angustifolius cultivar Tanjil contig_22465, whole genome shotgun sequence.